GUGGAUGAGGCUGCUAAUGAUAGUGGGAGCUCCAUUUCUUCCACGUCCUUAGGAAUGCCUGAAUUCCUAAAGAUUAUUUUCUCCUCCUCCUGGUUUUCUAACUGCUGCUCAAAGGAUUGCACUUAUCCAAAAACAGUUUUGAAACCAAGAAUUUGAGAAAGAUCUCUCUGCAUGACUACAGAAUACCAGAUCAAUGGAUUGCUGCCCUGGCACAUCUACCUGUCAUAUCUGUGGAUCUUGGACUGUUUCUUACUCAGCAAAAGUUUUGCUUACUGACUGUUGGACACUGCAACUCUUUAAUAAGGGAUUGCCCAAUUCAGGUAAUUGCUGGUGGUACAAUAAAGCUAAUGGUUCUAUUAAGUAUGUGUCUGUUAGCAAUAUCUAACUGGGAGGACAGUAUUAUACAAACUAUUUCUGUACUUAUUUUAAAUUAUUUAACUGCUUCAUGGAACUUCUGAAAUGGUCAGCAGAAAUAGAUUGUGUACACCUUUUGACAGCCAAAAUACUGAUAUUAUACAGUCAGGACUUCAGUGAGUAGCAUAUAGACAUUACCCUCAAAGGAAUAAUUAUUUGGAUAUUUGGUCCACUUUUGUUGGCAACUUUGCUGUAUUUCUAGAAAAUUUUAUGCCUUUUGCAUUGCUAUGGAUGCAAAUCCUUGUCAGUAUAUAAAAAUAAUAUGACAUUUUGUUUUUUGUGGGGUCCUCUUCAUGGGUACCAUUGGAGUUUCCCACAGGUGCCAUGUUGGAGACCCUUGCCUGAUUGGAAGCCUGUCCCAAAUUCCAGAUGAAUAAGGUGCAACUCAGCAACAUUCAGAAAGUCUGACCCUGCCUUAGCAACCGUUUGAUACAACCAGCUGGCCAUGGGCAGCUAUCCAGCAUGUGCAACAGCAGUUCAAAUGAUCUGCACAAGCCUGAAGGUUUGCAUAAAGGAGCACUCCAAGUCCAGGAGUUACUGCAAGAUGGCUGCUUCCACCAGCUUAAUGGAUAUGUUCUAGGACCCAAAGCCAAACAGCCCUUGCUGAAAUGAAGAAAAAAUGCAUGUUCCUCUAGCAUUUUAAUGAUCGAAGUGAUUUUGUCAGGUUCAGCUUUUCUGUCAAGAAAUAGCUAUCUAACAUUUAUAUGGUGCUUUUAUUUAUUAUUUAUUUAUUUGGAACUCUUAGGGGUUCUCAAAAUGUUUCAUGUUAUCUUGACAAUCCUUUUCAACCAACCAACCAACCAACCAACCAACCAACCAACCAGCAAAAUGCCUUCAUGCUAAGCUUGUAUUUUUAUCCACAUCUCCAGAUGUGAGGCUGGGCGUAUCAGAGGGUGGCUUGCCUAAACCACCUAGUGAGUUCAAGGCUGAGUGAGACUGAAGCCAGGGAUGUCCAGUUUAUAACUAAAAGUGUCUAACUACCAUGUCAUUUUGGUUUCCACGUAUUCUUAGAAAUACUGUUAACCUCACUACAAAUACCUUGAGUGAUGAGAAGUCCCACGGAUGUAAUGCUUGCUUUGGAUUGUCUUCCUUUCAUGCUGGAAGCUCUUGUAAUAUUAUAGUUUAACCUGUGGGUGCAAAACCACAAGCACAGAGGCCAAACGCAGGCCCCUAAGAUUCUCUAAAUGGCCCUGCCCCUUGUCCCUCAGCUGCUGAUCACUUGAUGGUUUCCCAGCUUUUGAGCAGUUCUUCUCAAAAGGCCAACAUGGUCUUCCUAAGACAUGGCUACUGGCAAUAAGAACUUUAAGCUAAAAUAGUCUGAUGUUUUAGUUCCUACUCAUGCUUGCCUUUGGCCUCACCCAGUGCUAGAAAGUGACCACUGCUCCCAACAACUUCUCUGAAAGAGCAUUCAGCCCUUAAGAUGAAAAACAUUCCGUCUACACGCUUGAUUUUAGACAUAAAUAGAUAGAGGUCCAUUGGAGGGUUAACCCGACAGUCCUAUCCACUGCCCCCCUCACGUCUGCAGAGAAAGAGGCAGCUCCCUAAAAGGCACUUUCCAGAGUUUGCUCUAUUCUUGCCCCACUCUCAGUCUAGUUCCCAAAUGCUUCUCUUGUUUCCCACUCACUAUUAGCUUCCUCCUCCUCUGACUCAAUAUGCUUAGAGGAUAACCCUGUACAUAGAACUUUUUAUGUUUAAAUACACAUAGGGUUAACCCUCCCAACUUUGUGUUACUUUUAUUUUUACAGCUAUGUCAUACCUUUUCUCCUUUUGUAAGGAACCCAGUGCAGCUAGCUUUGCCCUCCUUUUUUCACAUUUAUCCUCACAACAACCCUGUGAGGCAGGUGAGGAUAAGUGUCAGUGAGUGGCCCACAGACUUUCAGUAAGCUUCCUGGCUGAAUGGGGAGUGAAACCCAAAUCUCCCAAGUUCCAGUCCAAUACUCUAACCACCACACCACAUGGCAAUAUCGCCACUGACUAUUAAGGGCAUUCCAGCUUCAUUCUCCACUCCAAAGGGUUUCAUCCUGAAUCAUCCUGCUUGUGUUCAAUGUUUGGUGCCUGAGAAAUGGGUCUUCUCAUUAGGCAUACCCAGACUGUGGAACCAAGAUUUGCUCAGCCCCGCUCUCUCACAGAAUAAAUAUUUCUACCGUUUCUCACAACUAAACAGUAGUUGUGAAGACUAAAGCAAAAUGUUCACAUGGCUCCCCUUACCCACCAUUCCAUGUUUUACUGCAACAAAAAUAGUCUGCCUACCCAGAGAAGAGAAGAGAAGAGAAGAGAAGAGAAGAGAAGAGAAGAGAAGAGAAGGAACAUUCAUCAGUACAGUGGAGGGAGAUUAGAAAGCCUUGGAGAAACCUGACCCAGAAACAAACCUGCUGUAUUUAUGGGCCAAGUGGAAGUGCAGGUCUGCGGCCAAAACAGAACCAUCUACACGCAAGAGAAGAGCAGCAGCAGUGGAGGUACAGUUUGCAGGUGGGAGUGUUGGCAACUCCCUUCCCCUUCCUUCUUGCCCUUGAGGCAGGCUGGCACUGGCCCUCGCAAAGACUAAGACGAAGAGGAAGAGGAGGCGGAGUUGGCCUCUAGCAGCCAAGCCUCUAUGCACUGGCAUUUACCUGCUCACAUAUAUGCCUACCCGACCAUUAAGAUCUGAGCAAGAGGCCCUUCUGAAAGAGCAAUUCCGCAAGGUGAAAAGGAUGGUAAACAGAAGAAGGGUCUUUUUGGUGGCUACCCCCCUCCCCCAGGGAAUAAGCUCCCCAGUUAAAAUUGCCUAGCGCCAACUCUGUUUUCAUUUUGACACCAGGCAAAAACAUUUCUCCAUCACAAAGUCUUGUGGUAGAGACUUCUAUAGUUUAACUAUGCAUUGUGUGAAGCUGUAUUUCCUUUUAUCUGUCCAGAAUCACCCACUAUGCACAUAUCUGAAGCUACUCUUAAACUAAUCUAGAACAGAGAUCUUCUUGUGUUUGCAAAAUCAGUAUUUUAAAAUUGGCAAUACCCUUUGUGGGAAGAAAAGAUGCUUGUAUUAGUGCAGUGUCUGAAGACGCGCUUGAAAUGAAUCAAAACUGUGUUUUAAUAGUUGAUUUUAGAUGUUUUUAAUUUUAGUGAAAUGUUCAUAAUUUUAGUGGCAUCAGGCUCACCUUGCCACCUUUAAGAAUGACCCUGUUAAAUUGUUUUUAUUAUUAAUUUGUUAUUUGUAUUUUAAUGAUGGUUUUUAAUGUUUUGUGGUAUAUUUCUAAUUUUUGCCUGUGGUAUGCUGCCUAGAGAGUCUUUUGAACUAUUUGGCAGCUUAUAAAUAUAAUAAAUACAUAAAUGCACCCCCUGUCACACAUGCACAGAAUAUCCCUGGAACAGAUAACCUGUUUAAGCAAGGAAAUUGCAGGUCAGUGGAUUUUCCCAUGGGAGAUUUGAGUAAGAUUCAGGACUUUCUGUGGGCAUAUUAUGGAGCAGAGAGUCAAGUGGGAACCUGUGGUGUUAUCUGAGCUGCCUGACAGGAGUCAAGAAUGUGGGUGUCUUUACUCCCCAGAAAUCAGGCAGUUUGUGGGCUGGACCACUGCCUGCCUCUUCAAGUGAGCACCUGGGUAACUGCAAAGAGACUGACUGGAGUUAGGGCAUCAGAGAACAGAGGCAACGCCACUGGGCCUCCAGGGUGAGGCAGGAUGCAGUGACCUAUUGCACGCUCCUUUCUUCUUCCUUUGGAAGCAAGCAUGUGGAUUUUGAGCUGCGACAGCAAGCCCCAGAGGUUCAUUCAGUCCCAAGAGCUGUGCAGGGGACUUUGGCUUGCAGAACAGAAUGAUGAAUCUGCCUUUUUAAAAAAAAACCUCUCAGCUUCUCAUUUUCCCAUUCUUAAAUUCACUUCUAUCCAAACCUCAAGAAUAUUUUUAAAUUUCCCAUUAAAUGUUCAUAUUUUUGUACAUAUUCCCCUAAUGCAUGCAUUUUGUAUAAAUAUAUUUUUUCUGAGUAUGCACAAACUUUGUAAGCAAUUGUAAUACAUUUCUAGCCCUGUGUUAAAUGUCUGAUCAAUGUAGUUAUUGUAAUUGCUGUAUUAUAUGUAUUUUAUUUGGUUUUAUUUUUACACCGUACAACAUCCAGAGAGCCCCAUAGGGCUGUGGCAGUGCUCUAUCAAUUUUAAAAAACCUAAAUAAAUAAUAAAAUGUG